UACGUAGGGUGCAAGCGUUAAUCGGAAUUACUGGGCGUAAAGCGUGCGCAGGCGGCUUUGCAAGACAGAUGUGAAAUCCCCGGGCUUAACCUGGGAACUGCAUUUGUGACUGCAUGGCUGGAGUGCGGCAGAGGGGGAUGGAAUUCCGCGUGUAGCAGUGAAAUGCGUAGAUAUGCGGAGGAACACCGAUGGCGAAGGCAGUCCCCUGGGCCUGCACUGACGCUCCUGCACGAAAGCGUGGGGAGCAAACAGG
rnacentral:rRNA from 1 species